rnacentral:rRNA from 1 species
GAACGGUGCAGCCUUCGUGGCGGAUCAGUGGCGAACGGGUGACUACACGUGGGCAAUCUGCCCUGCACUCUAGGGACAAGCCCUGGUAAACGGGGUCUAAUACCGCGAUACGACCACCUUGGGCAUCUUGGUGGUGGAAAGCUCCGGCGGUGCAGGAUGAGCCCGCGGCCUAUCAGCUUGUUGGUGGGGUAAUGGCCUACCAAGGCGACGACGGGUAGCCGGCCUGAGAGGGCGACCGGCCACACUGGGACUGAGACACGGCCCAGACUCCUACGGGAGGCAGCAGUGGGGAAUAUUGCACAAUGGGCGAAAGCCUGAUGCAGCGACGCCGCGUGAGGGAUGACGGCCUUCGGGUUGUAAACCUCUUUCAGCAGGGAAGAAGCGCAAGUGACGGUACCUGCAGAAGAAGCACCGGCUAACUACGUGCCAGCAGCCGCGGUAAU